rnacentral:rRNA from 1 species
UACGAAGGGGGCUAGCGUUGUUCGGAAUUACUGGGCGUAAAGCGCGUGUAGGCGGGUCCUUAAGUCAGGGGUGAAAUGCCAAGGCUCAACCUUGGAACUGCCUUUGAUACUGGGGAUCUUGAGUCCGGGAGAGGUGAGUGGAAUUCCGAGUGUAGAGGUGAAAUUCGUAGAUAUUCGGAGGAACACCAGUGGCGAAGGCGGCUCACUGGUCCGGUACUGACGCUGAGGUGCGAAAGCGUGGGGAGCAAACAGG